AUUGAACGCUGGCGGAAUGCUUUACACAUGCAAGUCGAACGAUGAAGCCUAGCUUGCUAGGUCGAUUAGUGGCGAACGGGUGAGUAAUAUAUCGGAACGUAUCCAAUAAUGGGGGAUAACUAGUCGAAAGAUUGGCUAAUACCGCAUACGUCCUACGGGAGAAAGCUGGGGAUCGUAAGACCUGGCGUUAAUGGAGCGGCCGAUAUCUGAUUAGCUAGUUGGUGAGGUAAAGGCUCACCAAGGCGACGAUCAGUAGCUGGUCUGAGAGGACGACCAGCCACACUGGAACUGAGACACGGUCCAGACUCCUACGGGAGGCAGCAGUGGGGAAUUUUGGACAAUGGGCGAAAGCCUGAUCCAGCCAUUCCGCGUGAGUGAAGAAGGCCUUCGGGUUGUAAAGCUCUUUCGCAAGGGAAGAACACUUACUUAAUAACACUAAGUGAGGUUGACGGUACCUUGAUAAGAAGCACCGGCUAACUACGUGCCAGCCGCCGCCGUAACAC
rnacentral:rRNA from 1 species